CAGGGACACGAGCCAAGUGCCAGGCACUGAGAAAUUAAACCUGUUGUUCCGAUCUUAAGAGACAAUAACAUGUCCACUGUUCAGACAGACAGACAGACACCUUCUGGGAAGACAGGGUAGCUUCAAGUAGGGAAGACUGGAAAAGUGAGGGUAAGAGGCUGGUUUUAUAGUAAGGAAGAAGAGAUUUGCAGACAAAGCAGAAGGCUCUGGAGGGGCUCCUGCCUCUGACAGAAAAAGAGGGGGGAUUAAGAAAAAGUGAUAAUAGUUAGCAAACAGAAAGAUCAGAUUAGGACCAAAUAUACUGAUAGAAUGCCUGAGAAUCUAUCAGGUGGGUCAUGGGGACUGCUGAGGGUGGGUGUCUGGGCAAAGAACAGCUCUCUCGUACACACUGGGGUGAGGUAGGUCAUAGAUGAGGAGUAAACAGGGAGGGGAAUGGGGUGGAUCCCAGUGGAGAGUGCCAGGUCUAAAUCAGAGGGGGAAGUGCUGAGAUGCUAGAGAGAGGACCUCCAAUGGUCACCACUGGAGGAAGGCUGGAGGUAGGAGAUGGGAGAGUGAAGUCCAGAGAGUACAGGUGG
rnacentral:lncRNA from 1 species